GGCGGCGUGCCUAACAAUGCAAGUCGAACGAGAAAGUGGAGCAAUCCAUGAGUAAAGUGGCGACCGGGUGAGUAACACGUGACUAACCUACCUCCGAGUGGGGAAUAACUCCGGGAAACCGGGGCUAAUACCGCAUAACAUCGCAAGAUCAAAGCAGCAAUGCGCUUGGAGAGGGGGUCGCGGCUGAUUAGCUAGUUGGCGGGGUAACGGCCCACCAAGGCGAAGAUCGGUAUCCGGCCUGAGAGGGCGCACGGACACACUGGAACUGAAACACGGUCCAGACUCCUACGGGAGGCAGCAGUGGGGAAUUUUGCGCAAUGGGGGAAACCCUGACGCAGCAACGCCGCGUGGAGGAUGAAGCCCUUUGGGGCGUAAACUCCUUUCGACUCGGACGAUAAUGACGGUACGAGUGGAAGAAGCACCGGCUAACUCUGUGCCAGCAGCCGCGGUAAUACAGAGGGUGCGAGCGUUGUUCGGAAUUAUUGGGCGUAAAGGGCGCGUAUGCGGUGCGGUAAGUCACCUGUGAAAUCUCC
rnacentral:rRNA from 1 species